rnacentral:rRNA from 1 species
UACGAAGGGUGCAAGCGUUAAUCGGAAUUACUGGGCGUAAAGGGCGCGUAGGCGGUCUGCUAAGUUGGAUGUGAAAACUCUGGGCUUAACCCAGAGCCUGCAUUCAAUACUGACAGGCUAGAGUUCUGGAGGGGAUAGCGGAAUUCCUGGUGUAGCGGUGAAAUGCGUAGAUAUCAGGAGGAACACCGGUGGCGAAGGCGGGUCUCUGGGCAAUUCCUGACGCUGAGGCGCGAAAGCGUGGGGAGCAAACGGG